GCGGAAUGCUUUACACAUGCAAGUCGAACGGCAGCACGGGUACUUGUACCUGGUGGCGAGUGGCGAACGGGUGAGUAAUAUAUCGGAACGUAUCCAUUAAUGGGGGAUAACUAAUCGAAAGGUUGGCUAAUACCGCAUACGUCCUACGGGAGAAAGCAGGGGAUCUUCGGACCUUGCGUUAAUGGAGCGGCCGAUAUCUGAUUAGCUAGUUGGUGAGGUAAAAGCUCACCAAGGCGACGAUCAGUAGCUGGUCUGAGAGGACGACCAGCCACACUGGAACUGAGACACGGUCCAGACUCCUACGGGAGGCAGCAGUGGGGAAUUUUGGACAAUGGGCGAAAGCCUGAUCCAGCCAUUCCGCGUGAGUGAAGAAGGCCUUCGGGUUGUAAAGCUCUUUCGCAAGGGAAGAAAACUUACUUUCUAAUAAAGAGUGAGGCUGACGGUACCUUGAUAAGAAGCACCGGCUAACUACGUGCCA
rnacentral:rRNA from 1 species